rnacentral:rRNA from 1 species
CCAAUAGCGUAUAUUAAAGUUGUUGCAGUUAAAAAGCUCGUAGUUGAAUUUCGGGAUCAUCAGGUUGGUCGUGCCACUGGUAUGUACUUGCCUUGGUGGUCCCUCCCUCUUGAAGAACCGUAAUGCCAUUAAUUUGGUGUUGCGGGGAAUCAGGACUGUGACUUUGAAAAAAUUAGAGUGUUUAAAGCAGGCAAACGCUUGAAUACAUUAGCAGGGAAUAAUGAAAUAGGACGUUUGAUCUUAUUUUGUUGGUUUCUAGGAUCGACGUAAUGAUUAAUAGGGAUAGUUGGGGGCAUUAGUAUUCAAUUGUCAGAGGUGAAGUUCUUGGAUUUAUUGAAGACUGACUACUGCGAAAGCAUUUGCCAAGGAUGUUUUCAUUAAUCAAGAACGAAAGUUAGGGGAUCGAAGACGAUCAGAUACCGUCGUAGUCUUAACCAUAAACUAUGCCGACUAGGGAUCGGAUGAUGCUAAUUUUUUAAUGACUCAUUCGGCGCCUUACG